rnacentral:rRNA from 1 species
UAGGGAAUCUUCCACAAUGGACGCAAGUCUGAUGGAGCAACGCCGCGUGAGUGAAGAAGGUCUUCGGAUCGUAAAGCUCUGUUGUUGGUGAAGAAGGAUAGAGGCAGUAACUGGUCUUUAUUUGACGGUAAUCAACCAGAAAGUCACGGCUAACUACGUGCCAGCAGCCGCGGUAAUACGUAGGUGGCAAGCGUUGUCCGGAUUUAUUGGGCGUAAAGCGAGCGCAGGCGGAAUGAUAAGUCUGAUGUGAAAGCCCACGGCUCAACCGUGGAACUGCAUCGGAAACUGUCAUUCUUGAGUGCAGAAGAGGAGAGUGGAACUCCAUGUGUAGCGGUGGAAUGCGUAGAUAUAUGGAAGAACACCAGUGGCGAAGGCGGCUCUCUGGUCUGCAACUGACGCUGAGGCUCGAAAGCAUGGUAGCGAACAG